rnacentral:rRNA from 1 species
AGAUUGAACGCUAGCGGCAUGCCUAACACAUGCAAGUCGAACGGUAACAGGCCCUUCGGGGUGCUGACGAGUGGCGGACGGGUGAGUAAUGCGUAGGAAUCUACCCACGAGUGGGGGGAUAGCCCGGAGAAAUCCGGAUUAAUACCGCAUAUGCCCUACGGGGUAAGGCGGGGGAUCGUAAGACCUCGCGCUGGUGGAUGAGCCUACGUCCGAUUAGUUAGUUGGUGGGGUAAAGGCCUACCAAGGCUACGAUCGGUAGCUGGUCUGAGAGGCGACCANCCGACACUGGGACUGAGACACGGCCCACGAUCCUACGGGAGGCAGC